CAAGAUGGCGGAUGUCGGGAGAAGCUGUAGUCAUUUGUCCGAAUGCAAACAAGGCGUUAUCUCACAGAGAUCCUCACAACAAUGACUCCGCGAUAGCAUCGCAGAGAUUCGGACAUCUUGCAAAGCCUGGAUGCAAUGGCGUCAAAUAUGACGGUCUUCUCAGAUCUGUUCAGCUGGCGUCGAACAACAACUGUUCAAAAAAUACUGCUGAUCGGUGUUGGAUUAGUAAUUGUAUCGUUCCUAACAAAUAUCUGGUCGUUAUUCGUGGCAUAUCUUCUUGCGUUACCGCUUUCAUGGAAAUUACUUCAUCUCGUCAUGAAACGGAAAACUCCGGCACCUUCUGACAAACUCUUGUUAGCGGUGCAGACGAUCAACAGAGUGAAACAGGGUAUUCUCUCCCUAGGGUCACCACAAAAAGAAGCAAAAGAAAGAUCACCGUCUUACAAAGAAUCCAAAGGAAUGUCUCUUAGUUAUGGUGUUGACAUUGGACGUGCAAAGGAUGUGUCAACUUUGAGAGGUCAAACUAUUGAGGGUGAAGUCAGUAUUUUUGUAAAAUAUGUUAUACGAGACUUUGUGCAAUCAUGGUAUGAGGACUUUAGUCACGAUGCUCAGACCCUGAAGGAAUCACAGCAGAUUUUACACGCGGCUGCUUUCAGUCUAACUAAACGAGGCCAAAAAAUACACCCACAGCGACUCACUAGGGAUCUUUUAGAAUUGUUUACUCAGCAUCUAUCAACAUUCCAAGUAGCCAGAUCAGUUUUUCUAAGUCAAAGAAGGGGAUCAAUGAGUACUUCUUCAACAAAAUGUGGGACCUUGGAAGAAACAUUUGAACAGAGAAUCAAAUUCCAUCCAGCAUUAAAAAAUGAUGAAAGUGAAAUGAACUUUUUGAGGAGCUUGUCGAAGUUAUUGCUGACACACAUUUUACCCACCAGUAUAAACACUUGUCGGUCACCUCUUGUUGUGAUGACUGAGAUAAUGGCAUGUAAUGUACUUAAAUCAGCAAUUGAUAUGCUCACAUCAACAGACUGGUUAUAUGAGAGCAUGGUUAUCCUUCUAUCAGACGAGGACCAUUUAGAAAACAGCUCUGAUGACAAAUGGAAGGACACAAAUACAAAACAUUCCAUUGAACAAACUCAGCCUACCAGAGAAAAAGAUACAGAUGUUGUGGUCAAAACUGAAGAAACUGUGCCAGAUGGUGAAACAAUUAAUGAAAAUCAUGUUGGAAAUGCUCAAGUAAAAGAUCAGGGCAUUGUAUCAGAAGAUGAGUGCGAAAAGCACAGGAAGGUGAUAAUCUCAGAAAAUAUUCCCCAGAUAUUGCUUGAAGAAGCUGGUUGUGAUAAACAUGAUGGAGGAAUAACAGGUGCUGAAAACACUGACAUGGAUAAUGAUGAGUUUAAGACGUGUAUAGAAGAGAAAUCCGACUGUGAUAAAGAUGAUGAAAGAGGGACAGAAGAUGUUCCCCCACCAAAUCCCACCAUGUUAAAUGAAACUGAUGACUAUGCUGAGCCAGAAACUCCUCCAGCACAAAGUGUUGAAUCCUCUCAGGAAUCAAAGAAAGAUGUGGUAGACUCUGAAACAGUACAGGAUUAUGCUUUAAAACCAUCAAAAAAUGACAAUAAGAAAAUAACUAGCACCUUGUUCAAUCUGUUCAAAAGACGGAAAGAGUCGACAAAAUCCAGGAAUGAUUCCAGUGCAUCAAACUCUACUUGCUCUAGCGAUGAAUUUCAUCGCUCAAGAGGAAAUACAUUUGAUGAUGGAGAAAUUUUUCAUACGAUUAUUCAGGGAAAAGAAGAGGCAAACUCGAACUUUGGUGUUGAGUGUUCUGAGGAGGCUGUUCCUGUGAAGGGAGAUGCAGUGGUACAGUUCUUUGUGCAGGAUGACAAUAAUGACAAAAGUAUGGACAUAUUGACCCUUGACGCAGACAAAUAUUUAGUUGAGGACAGUUCACUGCUUUUUCAGGAUGUGAGUAUUCCAGAAACAGAGGAACGUCAGGAAUACAGAAGCUCCUCAAAGUACACUCUCUAUACUAUAGAGUUCAAUGCUCUGUAUUUCUCCGAUGGGCCCCCAGUGAUGAAGAGUGGUGGUGUAAAGCGCCGGUUUCGUGAGUUUGUUAAUCUGCAGGCCAGACUAGAUGCCAAAGAUAACUACAAGAAACUACUUAAAGAAACGAAGGGCCCAAGUCGGUGGAACACGCUGCCAUUCAAGAAUAUGGACAAGGACAAUGUGGAGAGUAGAAGAGUUUUUCUGGAGAAGUUUCUGAAGUCGCUGAUCCAGAUUGAGGCAGUCUGCAAUGGCCCGGAGCUCCGGGAGUUUCUGGCUUAUGAGGGGGAUGGCCAUAUUGCGUUCGUCAAGAAGGCGCGAGAGAUAAGUGUGCCUAGGCUGGAUAAAAUGUUUGUCAAGACUGCAUCAGUGGUUUUUGACAAGCUGAAGUCAAUUCCAGACAUUCCCCAGAACGUCCUCUCUGCAGUAACGAAACGGGACCGCUCUGUAGAGAGGCAAGAAGACUGCAAGGUCGUAGAGGACUCAGACAGACAGGAGUUGGAGUAUUCUUGGCAGGAUCCGGACUCGGACUCUGUAUCCCAUCAGUGGCUUCAGGCUGUGGAGGAUUACAUCAGUAAUUGUGAGAAGGAUACACAUGAUGAGGAAAGCAUUACCAUAACAACAAGCUGGGAUGUGAAGGAGAAGAAAGCUUUGCUUGAGGAAAUUCAUGCCAAGUUGCCACGGUUACAGGGAGAUGGUUCAGAAGCUCCAGAUACACUGGUUCAAGAAGGAAAGGGUCAAGUUAUACCAGACCUUCCCCUUGCCAAUGCUGUCCUUGACCUGGCUCGCCAGACCAUCCAAGGUCGUGAGCACUGGUUGACACGUGAAAGAGUUCUCUCUGUUUCAAGGAUUGUGAUUGGCAAGGCACUUGACAGGUGGUUGUCUGACCAGAUCAGCUUCCUGACAUCGCCAGAGCGCUGGGUGUAUUACUCUCAGCUUCUGCGUAAAGCAAUAUGGCCUGAUGGGAAGCUGUCGGCCGAAGACAAGCCAGUUAAACCACAGAGUGAGAAGGAGGCGACACAGAAACAAGCCAAGCAAUGUCUGAAAGACUUCUUCCCUGAUUUCAUUGAGCAGUUGGCUGGAUCAGAGGAUUAUGACAUUGCAGCUGAUCAGAUCAUUGAUGUCCUGCAGUAUGAGAAACUAAACAGGCAUCUGCUGUACAUGUUCCUGGGGAUUCUCACGGAGAAACUGUUUCCCGAAAUCUCCGCACCUGAACUGCAAGAUAGAUUGUUCAGUUAAUACAACACAGAGACAGCAGAUUGUAGCACCUUGAAAUAUAUUCCAAAUUGUCAUUGUCAACCAAGGAUGAUGUUUUCAUCUGAGAUUGUACGCACAGAAAGUAGUUCCCCGUUCAAGGAGGAGGAUGGGGGAAGGUCCAAUAAUUGAGUGUGGGAAAACUUAAGUUAGUUCUCUUAAAUACAGAGGUUUUGUGUUUGGUCAAGCUUUCAGUUUCACUAUUGUAGAAUAAGAUUGUACAAAUAAGACCAUGAAGUUUGAUGUUGCGUGAUACAUGUGGCUAAUAUCAAUAAAUUGGAGGUGCCCCAUGUAAUCCAAGAUGGCCGUUGUAUUCAUGCACAUAUUCCAAGAUGGCUGCUCCUUGCAUUCUCGAGGACUGCAUUUGCUCUUCACAUUCCAAAAUGUCUUCACAUAAAGAGACAACAGCAUCUUCAUGCACAAGACCCAGAAAUAUGGAUCAAGAGUCUGAAAGGAUCGGCAAGAACUAGUGUAUGUAACAGGGUUGAAGAGGAAGUUAAAAUGUCUUAUUACUAUGAAUAUUAUAGUGCUAAAAUUUAUUGACUUUACAAGGUCAGAAGACUGAAAAUUGAGACAGUGCUUGAUGUAAUACAUAUAGAUUCAUAUUGAUAGCACAAAGCAUUAAGAACAAUGUCUUUUAGGCUACAUGAGAAUCAAUAUUUCAGUGCUUAGGUUCGUCAUAAUGUUUAUCAUCAUUUUGUGAUGAUUGGGCUUCAGGGAAGUCAUUUUUGUUGUUUUUUAUCAGUAAAUGUUGUGUUUUAACAUUAGAUUUAGGAAUGCCAGUGCUCUCCAGACUCUAACUUCAGAAAUAUCUUUCCUUGCCUAAACUUACCUCAUGGUUGUUGACAAGUCUUGUCUCCUGACCAAAGGAACAUCACUUAUUUUUCUCGGCAUAAGUUCACCUGUUAAAUGUCUUGUAUCUGGGUUAGUGCGGCCCCCCAGAGGAAGAUGCUCAUGCAAAGGGAGGA
rnacentral:misc_RNA from 1 species